UACGUAGGGUGCAAGCGUUGUCCGGAAUUAUUGGGCGUAAAGAGCUUGUAGGCGGUCUGUCGCGUCUGCUGUGAAAAUCCGGGGCUCAACCCCGGACUUGCAGUGGGUACGGGCAGGCUAGAGUGUGGGAGGGGAGACUGGAAUUCCUGGUGUAGCGGUGAAAUGCGCAGAUAUCAGGAGGAACACCGAUGGCGAAGGCAGAUCUCUGGGCCGUAACUGACGCUGAGGAGCGAAAGCGUGGGGAGCGAACAGG
rnacentral:rRNA from 1 species